UGUUGUGUCAGCCGGGUUUCUGGUGGUGAAGCGAGGGAGGCAGCCAGGCAGCUGGGCACUGAAAGGUGGAAGGUAGAGACGAGGCCUGAUGAUGUAGAGGAGCUCCAACUCUAGCCUAGCUACUGCCAGCAGAAAAUUGAAGGAGAUUGACAUGAUGAAUGUAGAGGAACCCCGACCUCAGCCCAGCCCCUGCCCUGCCUGCAGGGGAGAGAGAGGAGCGUUGACCUCCAUUUGGUGAGGUUAAUCAUUUGCUCCUGGGUCUCAGUAGAGCAGGUAUAUAAUCAGUAUUUCCGUCAG